rnacentral:rRNA from 1 species
AGCGAACGCUGGCGGCAGGCUUAACACAUGCAAGUCGAACGAGAAAAUCCUGGCUUGCCAGGAUGAGUAAAGUGGCGCACGGGUGAGUAACACGUGAGUAAUCUGCCCCUAAGUCAGGAAUAACAUUGCGAAAGCGAUGCUAAUACCUGGUAAGCCCACGACUUCUUCGGUAGAUGUGGGAAAAGGUGGCCUCUGACAUAAGCUAUCACUUAGGGAUGAGCUCGCGGACCAUUAGCUUGUUGGUAGGGUAAUGGCCUACCAAGGCGAUGAUGGUUAGCGGGCCUGAGAGGGUGGCCAGCCACACUGGAACUGAGACACGGUCCAGACUCCUACGGGAGGCAGCAGGGGGGAAUCUUGCGCAAUGGGGGAAACCCUGACGCAGCGACGCCGCGUGGGUGAUGAAGGCCCUCGGGUCGUAAAGCCCUGUCAGGUGGGAAGAAACAUAUCGAUGCUAAUACCAUCGAUACUUGACGGUACCACCGGAGGAAGCACCGGCUAACUCCGUGCCAGCCGCCGCUGUAACAC